AAGCUUAUCACAACAGAAGCAAGCACAGUGGUUUCACGCGUCUUCUUAAUGGAAGUACUAGAAUCUGGAUUUCUGCAUUUUCUGUUGUUACUGUUGUGAGUUUUUUGUUUGUUUGUUUGUUUUGUUUUGUUUGUUUUGUUUUGAGCACUAAACUGUAGGACAAUCUGUAAAAUUUCACUGUGUGAUAAACUGCUCAGGGAAUUCUAACACACUCCAUCAGCACUACAUCAGUGUGCCAGGGAAUGAAUGGAGAACGUUUACAUUUAAGAGCACUGGUCUCAUGGGGAAGCCAGGACAUCACUCUGGAGGCUGUAGCUUGUGGUCUGUGAGACCCUGAGAUUUUGGUCCUCCUCCUGGUGCCCUUUCUUUCCUAAGGAGCAUAAGCCCAGCAGCUUUGCAGGGGAAAACAAGCAUUGGAAAAACAUCAGCUGGACUCAUCUAGUGUUGCAGUUGAAGAUGUGGACUGGUUGCAAAGACUCCAAAGAGAAGCAUGGAGUAUAAUAAGAGGUCUCAAAUAUGACCGAGGAGCUGCAGCAUGUAGUAUUAGCACAGCCCCUUCUGCCUCUCCUGGAGAGGGAGUGGGGCAUCUGCCAGUACCUCUAAAGAACUGCCAUGUCAGCUGCCUGUGAGGCCUAUGGAGCCCAAUUGAAGGAUUGCUGGGCUGUGUGCAAGCUCUUCAGUGCUCCCUAUGAAGAUCUCCUGGUGUUAAGACUGGAAAAGUGACUGCAGUAUCUCCACAAGAUAAUGCAAGCCUUGAAGCCAAGCAUGCAACAAUAAUGAUACGAGAAGGAAUAGAAAAUGUCAGGGCAGAUCACUGAUCUGAGCAUGUUAAUAUGAAGUGAAAAAAUUCCGGGCAAUUUUCAGUUUCUUGACAAAGCAUUGUGAUAAGUCAUCCUUUAAGUGCUUUUCCAGAAGAUGUGGCUGUAAAAUGCGCAAGGCAUUGUGGAGCAGGACUCCUGAGCCACUGCACUCAGGGUAGUGCCAUGGACAGCAGACAUCUGGCUGGACUGUCAGCAAGAAGGCGCUGGGUGCUCUCUAUCCUGUACACGACAGUGGGGAUGCAGAAUAGACCAAAGGCUGCAGCGGUGGGGUCAGUGGUCUGCUGCUAGAAGAGGAAGAAUGAGGCAGGACUGGAACAUGGCCUUUAGCCUCUGGGGAAUUUAAAGAAGGCAAUCUAGUUUUGCUUGUUCUAGUCAGCAGGAAACUCAGUCCCUAUUGAGGACCCUCUUUCGGAGGACCCGGAGCCUUGACAUGACGACAUCCCAAUCUGCGUAGGCACCCUCAAGGUGACGUGUCACUUCAGAGCCUGACUGAUAGCUCUUGCGGCCAUGCAACACUCGCCAGUUAUCAAAUGUUACUAUGUCUCCUGCAAAGAGAUUGCACAAAGUUUGACAUUUGGUAUGUUAUAUUCCUUCAAACAGAUAAAAUUGAGGUAGAUCUAUAUCAACAGCUAGGGAGCAAUCAUUUCAAAUAAGAGGGCAGGUCCCUCUCCAACUCUGCUGCUUUUCUUGUAUUGGCCAAUCUCGUGGGCAGGCAGAAAAGAAACCAGCUGGGAUAUCUUAGACAACAUGAUUAGACAAGUUUCUUUUUAAGAAGGCUCCUGUUUAAAAAAGAACUUCUGCCAAUAAAAGAAAUUAAAUUUUUCUUCCCAGAUGCUGGGAUGCAUGGGCAAAUAGAAUCUGCCAGAACUGUGCAAGAAUUUAGAUCAAAGUAAUGUACAACACAUACCUUUCAUUUUAACUUUCUACCUCAUUUAUCCACAUGGUUAUUGUUUGGAAAAAGCUGUACUGAGGUGAUGCAUGUGAUGAAUUGGGAUGGCCCAACAGGUGUGCAAGUGACAUGGUGCUACUGAUAUGACAACUUUCCUACGUGAAAGAGUUGUCAAUGUCAUAAGAAGAUAGACUACAUUGCCCAUCGCAAACUGUGGGUUUUUUUUGCAGUGAAGCAAUGGCAGAAGAAACUAUGAAAUGAAUGUAAGGAUACAGCAGUGAAAUAAAACAGGUGACAUAAGGGCUGAAAUUUCCACUCUGUGCCAGGGUAGAGAUACAGUGCUAGAACGUUUUGACGUGUCAGGAAAAAUGUGAAAAAUCACUGCAAAGAGAAACAACUUACUGACCUGGUUUCAGCUUGUAAGUAAACUUGUGUUCUGUGCUGUUUAAUAAAUCACUGAAUUCCUUUAGAGCUGCAUAAAA